rnacentral:rRNA from 1 species
AUUGAACGCUGGCGGCAGGCCUAACACAUGCAAGUCGAGCGGAUGAGGGGAGCUUGCUCCCUGAUUUAGCGGCGGACGGGUGAGUAAUGCCUAGGAAUCUGCCUGGUAGUGGGGGAUAACGUUCCGAAAGGAACGCUAAUACCGCAUACGUCCUACGGGAGAAAGCAGGGGACCUUCGGGCCUUGCGCUAUCAGAUGAGCCUAGGUCGGAUUAGCUAGUUGGUGAGGUAAUGGCUCACCAAGGCGACGAUCCGUAACUGGUCUGAGAGGAUGAUCAGUCACACUGGAACUGAGACACGGUCCAGACUCCUACGGGAGGCAGCAAUGGGGAAUAUUGGACAAAGGGCGAAAGCCUGAUCCAGCCAUGCCGCGUGUGUGAAGAAGGUCUUCGGAUUGUAAAGCACUUUAAGUUGGGAGGAAGGGCUGCUGGUUAAUACCCUGCAGUUUUGACGUUACCAACAGAAUAAGCACCGGCUAACUUCGUG